AUGGGAGAACAAUGUUUCCUCUUUGCGGCCCCAAAGGAACAAAAGGAGUCUGAGAAGGAGGAGUCUGCAGAGGAGCCUCGAGAUAUUUCGCUUAAGGUAGACAUGGACUGCCAAGGUUGCGCGAAGAAGGUUGAGAAAUCCCUCCUCAUAUUUGAAGGUUUGCAAUAUUUCAUACCCGUGCUUGCAAUCCGAUAUUUGUUUAGAGAGACACAUAACAUCCAGAGAUAUCGAUAUUUGCAAAUAGGUGUUGAGAACGUGAGGGCCAAUAGCCAACCAAAGACUGUGGUGGUGAAGAGCAGGACCGCGGAUCCCACCAAGGUUUGCGAAAGAGUUCAAAGGAAAACAAAGAGAAGGGUUGAGUUGAUCUCCCCUAUUCAUCCACCACCCCCGUAG
rnacentral:rRNA from 1 species